rnacentral:rRNA from 1 species
GAUGAACGCUGGCGGCGUGCUUAACACAUGCAAGUCGAACGGGAUCCAAGGGGUGCUUGCACUUUUUGGUGAGAGGGGCGAACGGGUGAGUAACACGUGAGUAACCUGUCCUUUUCUUUGGGAUAAGCAUUCGUAAGGGUGUUUAAGACCUUAUGUUCUGUCUGCCUCGCAUGGGGUGGGUGGGAAAGGCUUUGGCCGGAUUUGGGUGGGCUCGCGGUCUAUCAGCUUGUUGGUGGGGUGAUGGCUUACCUAGGCUUUGCCGGGUAGCGGGCCGGAGCGGGUGGUCGGACACAUUGGGACUGAGAUGCGGUCCGGACUCCUGCGGGAGGCAGCGGUGGGGGAUAGUGGACAAUGGGCGAAAGCCUGAUGCAGCGACGCCGCGUGGCGGAUGAAGGCGUUCGUGUUGUAAACUUCUUUUGCUCUGAUCAAGGCAUGCCAGUGGGUGUGUGGAGUUAAGGGGUUGAUAAGCGCCGGCUAACUACGUG